rnacentral:rRNA from 1 species
UCAAGUUAUUAAGGGUGCAGGGCGGAUGCCUUGGCACUAGGAGCCGAUGAAGGACGUGAUAAGCUGCGAUAAGCUUCGGGGAGUUGCACGUAAACUUUGAUCCGAAGAUUUCCGAAUGAGGAAACUCACUUAGAGUAAUGUCUAAGUAUCGUAUGAUGAAUACAUAGUCAUGCGAGGGGAACCCGGAGAACUGAAACAUCUAAGUACCCGGAGGAAGAGAAAGAAAUUCGAUUCCGUAAGUAGCGGCGAGCGAACGCGGAACAGGCCAAACCAGUGAAGUUUUCUUCGCUGGGGUUGCGGACAUAUCAUAACGAAGAGGUAUCGUAGAGGAAGAGAGUUGGAAAGCUCCGCCAUAGAAGGUAAUAGCCCUGUAGUUGAAACGAGAAAGCUACUAGUAUGAUCCAGAGUACCACGGGACACGUGAAACCCUGUGGGAAGCAGGAGGGACCAUCCUCCAAGCCUAAAUACUACCUAGUGACCGAUAGCGCAUAGUACCGUGAGGGAAAGGUGAAAAGAACCCCGGGAGGGGAGUGAAAUAGAACCUGAAACCCUGCACUUACAAGCUGUGGGAGCACAUUACUUGUGUGACCGCGUACUUUUUGUAGAACGGGCCAACGAGUUACGUUAAGUAGCAAGGUUAAGCACUUAAGGUGUGGAGCCGUAGCGAAAGCGAGUCUUAAAUGGGCGUCUAGUUACCCGACGUAGACCCGAAACCAGGCGACCUAUCCAUGAGCAGGUUGAAGCGAAAGUAAAAUUUCGUGGAGGACCGAACCCACGAGCGUUGAAAAGCUCGGGGAUGACUUGUGGAUAGCGGUGAAAUUCCAAUCGAACCCGGAGAUAGCUGGUUCUCCCCGAAAUAGCUUUAGGGCUAGCGUUAUGGAGAAGAGUUAUACGAAGGUAGAGCACUGAAUGGGUGAGGGCCUCAUCUCGAGGUACUGAUCUCAAUCAAACUCCGAAUGUCGUAUAAUAUACAUAGCAGUAAGACUAUGGGUGAUAAGGUUCAUAGUCAAAAGGGAAACAGCCCAGACCGCCAGUUAAGGUCCCAAAAUUAUGCUAAGUGGGAAAGGAGGUGGAGUCGCAUAGACAACUAGGAGGUUGGCUUAGAAGCAGCCAUCCUUUAAAGAGUGCGUAAUAGCUCACUAGUCGAGUGAUUCUGCGCCGAAAAUGUAUCGGGGCUAAGCAUAAUACCGAAGCUGCGGGAUUAGACAAAGAGUCUAAUCGGUAGGGGAGCGUACUAAACGCGAAGAAGGUUGACCGGAAGGGCAGCUGGAGAGUUUAGCAGUGAGAAUGCCGGUGUGAGUAGCGAAAGAUAGGUGAGAAUCCUAUCCAUCGAAAGCCUAAGGUUUCCAGGGGAAGGCUCGUCCGCCCUGGGUAAGUCGGGACCUAAGGUGAGGCCGAAAGGCGUAGCCGAUGGAUAUCAGGUUGAUAAUCCUGGACCACCGUAGAGCUGAAGGAGUGACGGAGGAGGGAAGUUAGGAUGGACUGGUGGAAUAGUCUAAUGAAGCACAAAGAGGGAUACGUAGGAAAAGCCGCGUAUUGAAACCUUGAAGUGUAAACCGCAAGGCCUAAUGGACCACACUUCCAAGAAAAGCUUCUAGGAGUACUUUAUGGUGCCCGUACCGUAAACGGACACACGUAGGCGAGGAGAGAAUCCAAAGACGCGCGAGAUAAUUCUUGUUAAGGAACUCUGCAAAAUGACCCUGUAACUUCGGGAUAAAGGGGACUCUAGAGAUAGAGGCGCAGAAAAUAGGCCCAAGCGACUGUUUAACAAAAACAUAGGUUUCUGCUAAAGCGAAAGCUGAUGUAUAGGAGCUGACGCCUGCCCAGUGCUGGAAGGUUAAGAGGAGAUGUAAGUCGCAAGGCAAAGCAUUGAAUUGAAGCCCCAGUAAACGGCGGCCGUAACUAUAACGGUCCUAAGGUAGCGAAAUUCCUUGUCAGGU